rnacentral:rRNA from 1 species
UACAGAGGUCCCAAUCGUUGUUCGGAUUCAUUGGGCGUAAAGGGUGCGUAGGCGGCGCGGUAAGUCGGGUGUGAAAUCUCCGGGCUUAACUCGGAAAGGUCAACUGAUACUGUGCGACUAGAGUGCGGAAGGGGCAACUGGAAUUCUCGGUGUAGCGGUGAAAUGCGUAGAUAUCGAGAGGAACACCUGCGGCGAAGGCGGGUUGCUGGGCCGACACUGACGCUGAUGCGCGAAAGCCAGGGGAGCGAACGGG